rnacentral:rRNA from 1 species
AACGAACGCUGGCGGCAUGCCUAACACAUGUAAGUCGAACGAGAUCCUUCGGGGUCUAGUGGCGCACGGGUGCGGAACGCGUGGGAAUCUGCCCUUAGGUUCGGAAUAACAGUUAGAAAUGACUGCUAAUACCGGAUGAUGACGUUAAGUCCAAAGAUUUAUCGCCUGAGGAUGAGCCCGCGUAGGAUUAGCUAGUUGGUGUGGUAAAGGCGCACCAAGGCGACGAUCCUUAGCUGGUCUGAGAGGAUGAUCAGCCACACUGGGACUGAGACACGGCCCAGACUCCUACGGGAGGCAGCAGUGGGGAAUAUUGGACCAUGGGCGCAAGCCUGAUCCAGCAAUGCCGCGUGAGUGAUGAAGGCCUUAGGGUUGUAAAGCUCUUUUACCCGGGAUGAUAAUGACAGUACCGGGAGAAUAAGCCCCGGCUAACUCCGUG